AUAUCCCCAAGGAUCCCAACUCGAACCCGAGUCCACAACCCUAACCAGUGGCUACCGCCGCCGUCCUCGUGCUCGAUCCACAAUCCCGCCGCCGGCCUCGCACUCCACCCCGUCGUCAAGCCGUCGUGUCGGAGCGCGCAUUCCCCUGCCCCCGAGCUCCACCCCGACAUCUACCCGUCCUUGCACUCCACCCCUUGCCCCCGAGCUCCAUCCCAAUACCGAGUCGCCGUCCUCGAGAUCCACAUACAACACCGCCGUCCUCGGGCUGCCCCCUCGACAUCCAGCCGUCGUCCUCGCCAAUCCCCGCCCUGCUGCUGCCGAGGCCCCAUCUCCGGGCUCCCCCCGUUGCCGCACCUGCUGUUGCCAGGCCUCCAUCUCUGGGCUCCCGCUGCUGCCGGUCCUGCUGCAAUGGGACCUGCUGCUGCUGGGGAUCCAUCCCCUUCGAGCCGCGCCCCUCUCGAAGCCAGCCGUCGCCAUGCCCUGAGUGUCAUACAGGCAAGGAAAAGAGAUGGUGAAGAAGGAGCUUCAGCAGGCAUGAUGGUUCGAUAACCACAACGCGGCAAGGCCAUCCCCAUUGCCCGUCAACACUAUUUCAGAUAAAAUCAGAAUAUUAUUUUUUGGAUAAGCUGGAAGGGAGGUCAUUAUCUACAACUGCUUACCAUCUGCUAUUUCAUCUCAAACUAAUAACAAUGGUUCAAAUGACUAGUGUUGCUAACCGGGAACCACGACCACCAGCAUGCAGCAUGAGCAAUGGGUAGAGAAUAGAUGACUACCUUGCUGGGAACCAUGGUCGCGCACGUGUAGCAGAAAACGAAUGGUGGAUGGAAAGGCUACGUCACCGGGAACCAGGACCGCGACUUGUAGUAGGCAACUACUAGGCACUUAGCCAACUGGUGCACAUGGACGUGAUGACUUUGCAGUGUUUAUGGACCAACCAACCUGUAAUCAUGGAUCUUAUCUGUCUACUAGACAAUUUGAUGUUUCGAGUAUUUUGGAGCUUGCACUCUGUGCAUGUGGAUGCAUACUUGUGUGUUCUGGACCAUCUAGCUGAAGUAUCUUGUACCAGCAAAUAGUGCUCAUCCUUUUGUGACUUGUGUACUCUGGGUGAUUGUUAAGAUGGUCAAACUAUGCUUUGUCAAGAUUUGAUGUGUUUGUCAACUUGCAUUCAAUGUAUAUGCAUGUUUGUGAACAUAUUUUAAUUGUUAUACAGUAUGUGUUAAUCUUGAA